GCCCUUCUACGAGUCUCUGGUUGAGAGAUUACGAAAGGCUUACAGCCCUGAUGCCAUUAAAGGUAAAACCUUUUUGAUUCUUUGGUUGUCUUGCUUAGCUUGGAUGUACCAUUUCAUAAUUCAGAUCAAUGAAAAGCAUGAAAGUAGAUUCGAGAUCCGGUAAACGUACAUCUCGGUGUCAUCAAGAAAACAGUUAGUGUUAGCAGUUGUCAAUGUUAAUGACCUCUGCCUCAGAAUGCCAAAUUUGUAUGUCUCCGAGUCUCCAAUGUUACACCGUGGAAAUGACUCGUGGUCGUUGCUCUGGGUUUUCUAUGACUUUCUUUGGGACUAUUGUGGUGCCAUCAGAGCUC